UAUGAGAUUGCUAGGUAAUAUGGUAAGAGCAUAUUUAGUUUUUCAAGAAACUGUCAAAUUGUCUUCUGAAAAAGGUUAGACCAUUUUACUUUUCCAGUAACAAU
rnacentral:pre_miRNA from 1 species